rnacentral:rRNA from 2 species
GAUGAACGCUGGCGGCGUGCCUAAUACAUGCAAGUCGAACGAGUUCUCGUUGAUGAUCGGUGCUUGCACCGAGAUUCAACAUGGAACGAGUGGCGGACGGGUGAGUAACACGUGGGUAACCUGCCCUUAAGUGGGGGAUAACAUUUGGAAACAGAUGCUAAUACCGCAUAGAUCCAAGAACCGCAUGGUUCUUGGCUGAAAGAUGGCGUAAGCUAUCGCUUUUGGAUGGACCCGCGGCGUAUUAGCUAGUUGGUGAGGUAAUGGCUCACCAAGGCGAUGAUACGUAGCCGAACUGAGAGGUUGAUCGGCCACAUUGGGACUGAGACACGGCCCAAACUCCUACGGGAGGCAGCAGUAGGGAAUCUUCCACAAUGGACGCAAGUCUGAUGGAGCAACGCCGCGUGAGUGAAGAAGGCUUUCGGGUCGUAAAACUCUGUUGUUGGAGAAGAAUGGUCGGCAGAGUAACUGUUGUCGGCGUGACGGUAUCCAACCAGAAAGCCACGGCUAACUACGUGCCAGCAGCCGCGGUAAUACGUAGGUGGCAAGCGUUAUCCGGAUUUAUUGGGCGUAAAGCGAGCGCAGGCGGUUUUUUAAGUCUGAUGUGAAAGCCCUCGGCUUAACCGAGGAAGCGCAUCGGAAACUGGGAAACUUGAGUGCAGAAGAGGACAGUGGAACUCCAUGUGUAGCGGUGAAAUGCGUAGAUAUAUGGAAGAACACCAGUGGCGAAGGCGGCUGUCUGGUCUGUAACUGACGCUGAGGCUCGAAAGCAUGGGUAGCGAACAGGAUUAGAUACCCUGGUAGUCCAUGCCGUAAACGAUGAAUGCUAGGUGUUGGAGGGUUUCCGCCCUUCAGUGCCGCAGCUAACGCAUUAAGCAUUCCGCCUGGGGAGUACGACCGCAAGGUUGAAACUCAAAGGAAUUGACGGGGGCCCGCACAAGCGGUGGAGCAUGUGGUUUAAUUCGAAGCAACGCGGAGAACCUUACCAGGUCUUGACAUCUUUUGAUCACCUGAGAGAUCAGGUUUCCCCUUCGGGGGCAAAAUGACAGGUGGUGCAUGGUUGUCGUCAGCUCGUGUCGUGAGAUGUUGGGUUAAGUCCCGCAACGAGCGCAACCCUUAUGACUAGUUGCCAGCAUUUAGUUGGGCACUCUAGUAAGACUGCCGGUGACAAACCGGAGGAAGGUGGGGAUGACGUCAAAUCAUCAUGCCCCUUAUGACCUGGGCUACAUACGUGCUACAAUGGAUGGUACAACGAGUUGCGAGACCGCGAGGUCAAGCUAAUCUCUUAAAGCCAUUCUCAGUUCGGACUGUAGGCUGCAACUCGCCUACACGAAGUCGGAAUCGCUAGUAAUCGCGGAUCAGCACGCCGCGGUGAAUACGUUCCCGGGCCUUGUACACACCGCCCGUCACACCAUGAGAGUUUGUAACACCCGAAGCCGGUGGCGUAACCCUUUUAGGGAGCGAGCCGUCUAAGGUGGGACAAAUGAUUAGGGUG